UACGUAGGGCGCAAGCGUUGUCCGGAAUUAUUGGGCGUAAAGAGCUCGUAGGCGGUCUGUCGCGUCGGCUGUGAAAACUCGGGGCUCAACCCCGAGCCUGCAGUCGAUACGGGCAGACUAGAGUGCAGUAGGGGAGACUGGAAUUCCUGGUGUAGCGGUGAAAUGCGCAGAUAUCAGGAGGAACACCGGUGGCGAAGGCGGGUCUCUGGGCUGUAACUGACGCUGAGGAGCGAAAGCGUGGGGAGCAAACAGGG
rnacentral:rRNA from 1 species